rnacentral:rRNA from 1 species
UACGUAGGCAGCAAGCGUUGUUCGGAAUUACUGGGCGUAAAGAGUGUGUAGGCGGUGCUCUAAGUUCGGUGUGAAAUCUCCCGGCUCAACUGGGAGGGUGCGCCGAAAACUGGAGUGCUGGAGCGCGGGAGAGGAAAGCGGAAUUCCUGGUGUAGCGGUGAAAUGCGUAGAUAUCAGGAAGAACACCCGUGGCGAAGGCGGCUCUCUGGGACGGUACUGACGCUGAGACGCGAAAGCGUGGGGAGCGAACAGG